UUCCUAACAUGCCUAAGGCUCUUUUUUCAUUUAUCUUUUUAUAUAUUCUCUCUCUCACUCUUGCUCUCUCUUUAUCUAUCUCUCUCAUGCUCUCUCUAUUCUUGAGUCAGGUUGAACCCAACUCAUACUUCUUGUCUCCUACCUUUUCAUUGUUCUCUCUUCCCCGAUCUCCAUCUGAACUCCCUGUCUGGCCUAACCUUAAUACUUAAAGAUCACCGUCCUGAAUCCAUGACCAAUAAUCC
rnacentral:lncRNA from 1 species